UUCAAAUCUCUCUGAGUGAUGGGUGCUGGGUUUCAAUCCCACCUGACCACAACUCCUUUGUCAUUGUUGGUGAUUCCUUGCAGAAUGGGCUUAAUAUGGUGGACCCAAUUGAGAAUGGGAGAGCAGCAGUAUUGCAAAAGUUGUGGUGAAGUACAGUUGCAUCUCUGGAAGGAGGCUAGGUUGCUUGGAGUUGUUUGAAUCAUGGGAUGAGGCAUCAACCUUCACGUUGCUUACCAUGUAAUCAUUGUUGAUGGUUCGUGGAACCCUACUUAUGAUCUUCAGGCUCAGGUUUGGAGGUAUGGGCAAACAAAGCCAGUUUAUGCAUAUCGUUUGAUGGCACAUGGAACUAUGGAAAAAAUAUAUAAACGGCAGGUGACAAAAGAGGGACUUGCUGCAAAGGGUGGUUGAUAGGCAACAAAUACAUCGGACCAUUUUUAAGUAAGGUC